rnacentral:rRNA from 1 species
CACGUAGGGCGCAAGCGUUGUCCGGAAUUAUUGGGCGUAAAGAGCUCGUAGGCGGUCUGUUACGUCUGCUGUGAAAACCCUGGGCUUAACCCUGGGCUUGCAGUGGAUACGGACAGACUAGAGGUAGGUAGGGGAGAAUGGAAUUCCCGGUGUAGCGGUGAAAUGCGCAGAUAUCGGGAGGAACACCGGUGGCGAAGGCGGUUCUCUGGGCCUUACCUGACGCUGAGGAGCGAAAGCGUGUGGAGCGAACAGG